rnacentral:rRNA from 1 species
UACGAAGGGGGCUAGCGUUGUUCGGAAUUACUGGGCGUAAAGCGCACGUAGGCGGAUCUUUAAGUCAGGGGUGAAAUCCUGGAGCUCAACUCCAGAACUGCCUUUGAUACUGAGGAUCUCGAGUCCGGGAGAGGUGAGUGGAACUGCGAGUGUAGAGGUGAAAUUCGUAGAUAUUCGCAAGAACACCAGUGGCGAAGGCGGCUCACUGGCCCGGUACUGACGCUGAGGUGCGAAAGCGUGGGGAGCAAACAGG